CGCCUUUAGAAAAGAUAAUGGCUUUAGAAGCCAUCAGGCCCAAUUUGUUAUCUCUAAUGGGCCAAUAAAAUAUUCAUCAGAAACAAACAACAAUGUACUCCGUAACCGGAAAAGCCAAAUCGAAUCCAACUGUUUUACCAGAACAAAAACACCGGUUGGCGUCCGACUCGUCGUCGUUGUUGUCUUGCUUAUGCAUCGUGAUUGAAAUUUCUUCAUCAUGUGAUUUAGUUCCUUCUGUGAAAGCUCAGGUUUUGCUUGUUUGAAUCUGAAAGCUCUUCUAGUUUAUUUUUUCUCCCAUUGAUAGAUGCUUAGUUGUGGAUUCUUCUUUUUAGAUGGGAUUUUAUAGAGAUGAUUAAAUUUUGUUAUGGUGAUUGAUAAUUGAUGAGUAUCGGUCCUAGAAUCUGCCCAUCUUCACUCCAUGCUUGCAUUUUUGUGUGGAUGAACAGCCAAAACAGAAACUUUGGACUCAAAUUGUUAUCUUAUUACUGUUUCAAUAAGGUCCUAGAAAUAGAGACAUAACCUUUUGUGUGUGAAUUGUUGUUUCAACUUUGGGAUCUAGGUCAUGAGUAUGUGCAGACUCAAAUGUAUGUUUUUCUUGGUAUCCAGAACAAUGUGUAGUUUUCAUCAAUCUGAACUUUCUUAACUUGUUUGAAAAUGGGCAGAUAAGUCGUUGUUUCUCGUUCUCAGUACUAUUUUCAAGUGAAUGAUCAAAUAUGUGUGAAACAAAUUGAAGGUUUUUCUCUUUAUAUUCCUAGAUAGGGUAUGUAUGUUAGUCGUUUUGUGCUCUUUGCCAAGUGGGCAUUUCUUUCUAUAAAAUUCACUGUCUCUAGAUUAGCAUUUGUGUUGUUGACAAGUAUGCAGUGUCCUUGUUCUACCCUGAAUCAUUUAGGUUUGCUUCAGAAGAUUUAAAUUAGUUGCUUGGUUUUUGCUAGUGAUGCUGCUGAAAGUAAUGUUUCUGUUCUAAACUACUUAAAGUUACCUGGUCAGGUAGUUAUAAUUGUAAACUUCCAAGUUUUAUUCGGAUAUGACACCUGAAGAUUUCAUUGUUCAUUACAUUGAUUUGUCUUUAGAGGCUAAGUUCCUGAAUUGAGCUGAUAAUUUUAUUAUUAUUGGUAUAUGAGCAGGUACAUUAUCUUGUAAGGUACUUCUUAGCACCUUCCUUAUGCUCAAUUCACUACAACAUUUUGCUAUUUAAUGUCUUUUGGACAUUUUUUAGGAAGUGGUUUCCCACAGAGUAAUUCAUUUCCAAUGUAAAUGGAUGGAUCUUGAAACUUGAGAAGCUUAGGUAUGCUCCCCUCCAGUUUAUUGAACGAAAGAUUCAGCCUUUGCAGAGAAGAUAUUGCUGCGAAGCUCUGAGUUUCUUGAUAAAUUCAGGAUUCGGAGAUACAAGAGGCCUAAGAUUUCUCUUGGGAUCUCUCCGCUUAUGUUGUUCCCUGAAAGAUUUAUGCUAUUGGCUAUGGCUUCGUAUUCACGAGCUCUGGUCACAAUGAAGACUAGAUUCUGGAACACCUCAUUGUUUGUACCUCGAGCAAUGGCUGUGAGAUUGCUGAUGCAUUUUGGAAUAGGGCCCGAGAUUUUGUUUCCGGAGAGGUCCAGAAUGCGUAGAUUUGGAACGUUGCAGAGAUCAUCUGGGAUUUGACCAGUGAAGGAGUUACUUUGCAGACGAAGCAUGAAUAGAGAAGACAGCUUUCCUACCCAUGAAGGAAGCUUCCCGGUCAGCUUGUUUCCUCCGAGAUCUAUGUUCGUAAGGCCAGAACAAUUCCGAAGACUCUCUGGGAUUUUACCUUCCAACGAAUUUUGGUUCAGAAGCAAGACGCUGAGAGAAGGUAACAUACCAAGAGACUCUGGUAUUUCGCCUGAUAAGUUAUUCUCAGACACGUCAAUUCCCCAAAGCAUGAACUGACGGUGCCAACAUUUUGGAAAACUACCAGAGAAAUGGUUCUUCCUCAGUGACAGAAUUUGCAGUCCGGAGACUUCACAUAGAGACGAUGGGAUGUUGCCUGUGAAGCUGUUGCUAAAGAGGUAGAUCUUCUCCAUUCUUGGCAUCAAGACGUCAAUGUUUUGUGGAAGAGAACCCGAGAAGUUGUUCUCGUAAAGACGCAGCUCUGUUGCGUUUGUAGACCAGAGAGGAAAAGUGCCUUCAAAGUUGUUGGAGCUCAAAUCAAUGGUGUUUAACUUUGGGAACGCAAGCUUUUGAGGUAAUCUACCUUUGAUUCUGUUGUUUGCUAGAAUUAGGUAAGUAACUUUAGAAGAGAUUCCAGAGAACCAGCUAUCCGGUAUUGUAUCUUCAAUACCAGUGUUUCUGAGUGUGACAAAGUUGAGCUUGGUUUGUACUUGGAGCCACAUUGGAAACAGACCGAUCCGACAGUUCUCGAUUUGGAUCAACUCCAGUCUGAAAGGAGGAAUCCAAGUAGAUGGUAACUUGAAGACAAGAGAUCUGUAUGGUUCAGUUGUUAGACGGAUGCUUUUCAAGCUUCUGAGAUUCACGAAAUGUGACUUUUGCAGAACGCCUCCCCAUGUAUUCGCCAUCAAGUUCAGAUCCACAAGCUCUGCAAGCUGCCCCAAGCUUUCCGCAAUUGUCCCGUUCAUGGCAUUGUUAGAAAGAUCAAGUUUCUUCAGUGACGCCAUGUUUCCUAUCGAGGAAGGGACCGAACCCGUGAAGGAAUUCGAUGAAAGAUCCAGAGUCUGCAGAUUCCUCAACGAUCCAAGUGACUCGGGCAAUGUCCCAGCUAACUUGUUGGAACUGAGAUCGAGAAAGACCAAGCUGUUUCCUUUGUUUCUGGAGAAGGCGUCUAGAAACCCAUGGAUUUGACCGUUGAGUUCGUUUGCAGAAAGGUCAAGAAACUUCAGUUGAGGAAGGUCUCCAAGAACCGAUGGAAUCUCGCCUUGUAGUGCCAGAUUAUUCGACAGAUCAAGUGUCUCUAGAAGCUUCAAGUUCUUGAACCCCGUAGGAAUCGAACCCUGGAGAAAAUCCCAUCUGAGGAAUAGCUUUCUGAGGUUGGUAAGACCAAAUAGCCAGUUAGGUAUCGGCGAAUUGAGAGAGUUUUCAGACAAAUCAAGAACUUCAAGGAGCUUCAGAUCCGCAGACGAAGACAAGGUGGGAGGUAAGUUCUUGAGCUCACUAUUGAACAAAUGCAACUCCUUUAGCGCCGAGAUUCUGCUGAAAUCCUGUAACCAGGUUUCACCCGCACCACUUAGAUUUACAUACCCCAUGUUGAGAUACUUCAGGGAAGAAGACAGACUUGAAAGCCACCGGAGAUUGCUUGCGCGCAAUGAUAAUGUACCAGAGUCACCAAACGACUCUGCAUACAGAUCAAGAGACUCCAGCUUCGACAAAUUUCCAAGACUCGUUGGGAUUUCGCCGGAAAACGAUGAGGAAGAAAGAUUCAGGUACCUUAGACUAACAAUUUGGCCAAUAAACUCAGGAAUCUCUAGUUCAUUGAAAUCAUUUGAACUCAAGUCCAGAUAGCUCAAGAACUUGAGUUGAGUCAAAGACGGAUGUAUCUUCCCUCGCAAGGAACCUCUUUUAUACUCAUCAGAGCGAACAUCUUGACUCGGGUUUCUGAGAUCAAUCUUGACAACGUGGCUGGUCCGAGCAUCGCAAAGAACACCGGGCCAGUUGCAGCAGUCAGGUCCGGACCAAGAAAAGAGCCUACUCGAAAGAUCAGUUAGUGCUGCUCUGAAGGUGAGAAGAGCUUGCCGCUCGGUGGAUAUGCAUUUCGGACUAGCUGCAGAUCCGUAAUUAAGAUUUUUGAGAAGUAAAAUGAGAAUCAGAAAAGAGAUGAAGAAGCUAGGCCUUAGCUUGAGGUCCAUACUUGAAGCUAUGUUUGUGUUGUUUCUUUUCUCAGACGUUUAGAUAUAUAUAUGUUCAAACGCGGACAUAUUAGACCAGCAUUGUAUGUAUAUACAUAUACAAAUUGAAUAUAUGUAUACAAAUAUACGUGUAUAUCUUUAACAAAUACGACACGGUUUAUAUCAAUGUAUAAAAUACG
rnacentral:misc_RNA from 1 species